rnacentral:lncRNA from 1 species
AUAAUAUGCCAACUAAUUCAAAAAUUAGUCCACAUGCCAAUAACGUGUUAAGUUCUAUGAUUAUAGAUGGAUGGUUGAAGGAGUGUGAACACUUCCAUGUCAAUUUUUCUUACAUUUAAAUCAACUCUUGAAACCCAUUGGGCUAAACAGAGGUCAACCUAUCCAUGUUAAGCAAAAGGGUUCUUGCCCUUUUGUGCAUUACACACAUUCCCUUUCCUUCUCAAUCCAGCCUGCAGGCACCAAGCUGUUUAAUUAUGAUAAAAUCCCAAUUUCAAGCACCAGAGAAGAAGUGAGAAUCAACAACUAAAAGCAAUAUAUUAUUCUGACAGGCUAACCUCCAAAUGAGAAACAGAUAAAGUCUUGUUUGGAGUCGAAUUGAACAAAGGUCUUCAUAGAAUUCAGCUACCAGUUGGUGCAUGAAAGACAAUGCCUGGGAACUAUGGCAUAUAUUCAAAUCUCUCUUUAUCAAUCUUAGCAAUUGCCAAAUGUGGAGGAUGAUGGCUCUUCCUUUAUUUCUUAUGGAUUAUUUGAACAAACACAAACAAAGUUUGAUAGGAUAUUGAACUUAGAACAGAUGAGAAUUUCUCUCUCGUUCCCCAUUCUAAGUUUUUCUUUACCAGUACUCUACCAACUUAUGCAAGUAAUUUAUGGAUUCAAAUUUAGACUUUGAAAAUGAAAUAAAAAGAACAAAAGUUUGGAGUUUGGUUCUCAAGGUGCUUCUCGUGGCAUCAUUUUUUUUUUUUUUUGAGAGCCAGCCACCACAGAGUUUGGUUGUGC